UGCCAGCAGCCGCGGUAAGACAGAGGGUGCAAACGUUGUUCGGAAUUACUGGGCAUAAAGAGCACGUAGGCGGUUCGUCAAGUCACGCGUGAAAUCCCCCGGCUCAACCGGGGAACUGCGUGUGAUACUGGCGGGCUUGAGGUCGGUAGGGGUGAGCGGAACUCCAGGUGGAGCGGUGAAAUGCGUAGAUAUCUGGAGGAACACCGGUGGCGAAAGCGGCUCACUGGACCGAAACUGACGCUGAGGUGCGAAAGCUAGGGUAGCAAACGGGAUUAGAUA
rnacentral:rRNA from 1 species